rnacentral:rRNA from 1 species
UAGGGAAUCUUCGGCAAUGGGGGCAACCCUGACCGAGCAACGCCGCGUGAGUGAAGAAGGUUUUCGGAUCGUAAAGCUCUGUUGUAAGUCAAGAACGAGUGUGAGGGUGGAAAGUUCACACUGUGACGGUAGCUUACCAGAAAGGGACGGCUAACUACGUGCCAGCAGCCGCGGUAAUACGUAGGUCCCGAGCGUUGUCCGGAUUUAUUGGGCGUAAAGCGAGCGCAGGCGGUUUGAUAAGUCUGAAGUUAAAGGCUGUGGCUCAACCAUAGUUCGCUUUGGAAACUGUCAAACUUGAGUGCAGAAGGGGAGAGUGGAAUUCCAUGUGUAGCGGUGAAAUGCGUAGAUAUAUGGAGGAACACCGGUGGCGAAAGCGGCUCUCUGGUCUGUAACUGACGCUGAGGCUCGAAAGCGUGGGGAGCGAACAGGAUUAGGUACCCUGGUAGUCCACGCCGUAAACGAUGAGUGCUAGGUGUUGGAUCCUUUCCGGGAUUCAGUGCCGCAGCUAACGCAUUAAGCACUCCGCCUGGGGAGUACGACCGCAAGGUUG